GUGUCAGCAGCCGCGGUAAUACGUAGGAGGCGAGCGUUGUCCGGAUUUACUGGGCGUAAAGCGCGCGCAGGCGGCAGUGCAAGUAAGGUGUGAAAUCUCCCUGCUCAACGGGGAGGGUGCACUUUAGACUGCACAGCUCGAGGUCGGUAGAGGGGGGUGGAAUUGCUGGUGUAGCGGUGAAAUGCGUAGAGAUCAGCAGGAACACCCGUGGCGAAGGCGGCCCCCUGGGCCGUACCUGACGCUGAGGCGCGAAGGCUAGGGGAGCGAACGGGAUUAGAAACCCCCGUAGUCC
rnacentral:rRNA from 1 species